rnacentral:rRNA from 1 species
UACCUACGGGAAGUCAGCAUUUGGGCCUCUUUCCCCAUGGGGGAAACCCUUAUGCAGCGAUGCCGCGUGGAGGAAGAAGGUUUUCGGAUUGUAAACUCCUUUUAUCAGGGACGAUAAUGACGGUACCUGAAGAAAAAGCUCCGGCUAACUACGUGCCAGCAGCCGCGGUAAUACGUAGGGAGCGAGCGUUGUCCGGAAUUACUGGGUGUAAAGGGAGCGUAGGCGGGACGGCAAGUCAGAUGUGAAAACUGAGGGCUCAACCUUCAGACUGCAUUUGAAACUGCUGUUCUUGAGUGAAGUAGAGG